GUAUUAAUAAUUUUAAUUGUAUUACAGUUAUCAUAGCAAUAGUUGUUUAUACUAUUUAAUUGAUAUUUUUGGUCAACAAAUACUAACAACAAUAACUAUGAUAAGUGUUGGGAACGACAGGUAGUACCGGUUGCAAGGGUCAGUUGGUUUUUACCAAACAAUGGCAUCACUGGGAACGGGAUCUAUGCCUCCCAAAUAUGGACUGGUUUUUAGGUAUCUAUGAAAUGGGAAAACCGGUACUAUAUCUAUCAGAUCCCGAUAUCUUAUACGUAAUGUAUUGAUCAAUGUUUUCAACAAUAGACGAACUCCCGUUCAGAUAGACUUUGUUUCAACACAAUUGGUGUCCAAAGAAAUUAAUAUUUCAUUU